UGGCGGGACGGGGUGGAGUAACGCGUGGGUAACCUGCCUCAUACAGGGGGAUAACAGUUAGAAAUAGACUGCUAAUACCGCAUAAGACCACAGCACCGCAUGGUGCAGGGGUAAAAACGUACCGGUGGUAUGAGAUGGACCCGCGUCUGAUUAGGUAGUUGGUGGGGUAACGGCCUACCAAGCCGACGAUCAGUAGCCGACCUGAGAGGGUGACCGGCCACAUUGGGACUGAGACACGGCCCAA
rnacentral:rRNA from 1 species